CUUUUAAAACUUAUGAUUACUAGUGCAUAUGAUUGUGUCUGUGGAAAGACUUCCCAGCCUUCUUUAGAACUUAGGAGGUGCUUCUGUUCUCAGCAUAGGCAAUAUUAAUCGCAGCUCACAUUGUCUCUGGAUGGGAUUUCUGUUUGAGAAACAAGAACUAGAAUGGACAAGUAUAUGGAACAUUUUAAAACACUGAAUAGAAAAUAUGUAAGAUACAUUAUCCUUAAAGCAACUCAAAGGGCUUUUACAGCAUAAUCUCAGUUCUUGUCAUACCU
rnacentral:lncRNA from 1 species